GACGGAGGGUGCAAGCGUUAUCCGGAUUCACUGGGUUUAAAGGGUGCGUAGGAGGGCAGUUAAGUCAGAGGUCAAAUCUCCGAGCUUAACUCGGAAACUGCCGUUGAUACUAUCUUUCUUGAAUACCGUGGAGGUGAGCGGAAUAUGUCAUGUAGCGGUGAAAUGCUUAGAUAUGACAUAGAACACCAAUUGCGAAGGCAGCUCGCUACACGAAUAUUGACUCUGAGGCACGAAAGCGUGGGGAUCAAACAGG
rnacentral:rRNA from 1 species